GCUUUGGCACUCAAGAAAUGACUGCCGAAGGAAUUAAUGCUGAAGGGAUUGAGGACAGAUUCAUUAAGGUGGUGACAGUUGAGCCGGACCUUGAAGCAGAAGUGGAAACUAUUAUCAUAGGAGAUUCCUUGGAAUGAAACCAAUGGGAGAUGAAGGUUUGGGAGAGUCUCAUCAGAGCAGAUGAGCCAGCAGCAGCCAGAAAGCUUGUUGCCUUUGGCUGAGAGCACCAUCCUGGAUCUGAACGUCUUACUGGAAAUUCCAUGAGAAUAUGGACCAUGUCUGUCUAGACUCACCGUCAUAUCUCCACCACCAAGCCUGGAACAUAGUGGAGAAACUGAGGCCCAAGGAGAGGAAUGGACUUGCCACGGACAUUUCCAGGAAUCCAGAGGCAACUCGGGCCAAGACCAGACCCUGGCACACGGAGCCUCUUCAGAGACGGGGCCCCGAGCACGAGGUGUGCCAGCGAAGAGAACGUGGGGCACCCCCCCCAGCCCCGGCUCACCGGAGUGGUAUGCGGAUGGCGAUGUAGCGGUCAAUGGCGA